rnacentral:rRNA from 1 species
AGGGUGUAAACGCUGCAGACUUGGUGUUGGAAAUCCUUCGAGGGUAUUCAGUGCCGGAGAGAAGUUGUUAAGUCUGCUACUUGGGGAGUACGUCCGCAAGGAUGAAACUUAAAGGAAUUGGCGGGGGAGCACCGCAACGGGAGGAGCGUGCGGUUUAAUUGGAUUCAACACCGGAAAUCUCACCGGAUAGGACAGACAUAUGAUAGUCGGGCUGAAGACUCUACUUGAUGAUCUGAGAGGUGGUGCAUGGCGUCAGUGACU